rnacentral:rRNA from 1 species
AGGAAUAUUGGUCAAUGGGCGAGAGCCUGAACCAGCCAAGUAGCGUGAAGGAUGACUGCCCUAUGGGUUGUAAACUUCUUUUAUAAAGGAAUAAAGUCGGGUAUGCAUACCCGUUUGCAUGUACUUUAUGAAUAAGGAUCGGCUAACUCCGUGCCAGCAGCCGCGGUAAUACGGAGGAUCCGAGCGUUAUCCGGAUUUAUUGGGUUUAAAGGGAGCGUAGAUGGAUGUUUAAGUCAGUUGUGAAAGUUUGCGGCUCAACCGUAAAAUUGCAGUUGAUACUGGAUAUCUUGAGUGCAGUUGAGGCAGGCGGAAUUCGUGGUGUAGCGGUGAAAUGCUUAGAUAUCACGAAGAACUCCGAUUGCGAAGGCAGCCUGCUAAGCUGCAACUGACAUUGAGGCUCGAAAGUGUGGGUAUCAAACAGGAUUAGAUACCCUGGUAGUCCACACAGUAAACGAUGAAUACUCGCUGUUGGCGAUAUACAGUCAGCGGCCAAGCGAAAGCAUUAAGUAUUCCACCUGGGGAGUACGCCGGCAACGGUGAAACUCAAAGGAAUUAACGGGGGCCCGCACAAGCGGAGGAACAUGUGGUUUAAUUCGAUGAUACGCGAGGAACCUUACCCGGGCUUAAAUUGCAACUGACGGAACCGGAAACGGUUCUUUCUUCGGACAGUUGUGAAGGUGCUGCAUGGUUGUCGUCAGCUCGUGCCGUGAGGUGUCGGCUUAAGUGCCAUAACGAGCGCAACCCUUAUCGAUAGUUACUAGCAGGUAAUGCUGAGGACUCUAUCGAGACUGCCGUCGUAAGAUGCGAGGAAGGUGGGGAUGACGUCAAAUCAGCACGGCCCUUACGUCCGGGGCUACACACGUGUUACAAUGGGAGGUACAGAAGGCAGCUACCCGGCGACGGGAUGCCAAUCUCCAAAGCCUCUCUCAGUUCGGACUGGAGUCUGCAACCCGACUCCACGAAGCUGGAUUCGCUAGUAAUCGCGCAUCAGCCACGGCGCGGUGAAUACGUUCCCG